UUUCAGGGCUGGCAGCUGUAAGAGUAACAUCUCUAUUUGGAGAAUGCCUUCUUUGGAGUGCUCAAUGAGGUUUGAUCUUCAGAAAGGGCAAAGUUCACCUGCGAAGCAAGGGCAGAGUCUAAACAGCUACAGCAUAAUUUGAAAAACACUGAUGGGAGUGGGGCUGUGGAGUAAGAACACCAAAGUGCUGAUGGAUCUGCUGAAAGUGGAAGCAGCCACCAGAAGAUGUCAUCCCCCUUAAUACUGCCCAAAUGGAACAGAAGGACUCUGAGAAAUGAGGACAGCAGAUCCAGG